GUCGGCCUGGUGAGGCCACAGGAGGAGACACAGGAGAGGCUCAGGAAAACAAAGCUCAUCAUACUCACAGGAAUUUGACGUCAAGACUUGCCCUAUGUGACUAAUUCUUACGUGUUAUUCACCUGGGGGCAAUAAUCCUUGGAUUGGUGUGCAGUAAAUUUGGCGUGACGACAUGUUGUCAUCAGUGGAUCCAGGAUAGGCACUGCCCAGAUCUCCUUCCAGCCGGAGGCCCUCCUCCUUCCUCCAUCUGCGGAGAGUGUGCUGGGAGUCUUAGCCAUCCACAGCUGAGGCUUUCUCAGGGACUGUGCUCACCUUAUGAAAGCUGCCUCUCCCAGCCUGCGGCCCCUCCCUGAGGGGAAGCCACUUCUCAUGACUGAGGAGGACGACAACACUCAGCCUCCUAGCCUUAACCGAGAUGACUCAGAAGAGCCACCUGAGCUCCAGAGCUCCCUGUGCAAUUGGUCAAGACCUCUGUUGGAACCGCAGCUCAGUUCACCUUUGCCUGCUGCCUGGUGCUGCUUCUGUCACCCCCUCACCUUACAGGACCAAUUUGCUGCACUGAGACCUCAACUACGCCCAUACUAUUUGAAGCGUAUUCCAGACAUAAUAUUAUUUCAUCUGAUGAAGAAAACUGGGACAACUGCCAAGACUGCUUUGGCGUCUCCUGCUGCAGAGUGAAACAGUGGCUGGGACUUCAGGAACAUUCAGGGCCGCUGAUAGAUUGAGGAGGGGAUUUGAGAGAGAGGGGGAUAAAAUUUCCUGUUGCUUCUGAAGAACAGUAUAAUAAGGUAAAUUAUUAAGAAAGG